UUGCACUGGAAAACGAAAACGAGCGUUUCUUAUUGGACAACCUCAGGCAGUCCAUUUUCCUGUGUUUGGUACCUAAAUGAAUAGGCUGUAACCCGGAUCAGCUGCUGCAAAAAUGGCGGACAGAAAUACCUGGAUGGAAGCAAAUGGACUCUUGAAACAACCAGCAAACCAGGAUGUCGUCUUGUGGAACAGUGGAUGUAAAGAAUCUAGCCAGCUAAAGCGUUUACUGCAAAUUGAAUGUACAGUUUUGUAAGCUUGCCUUGUGGAUAACGUAACUAGCUAACUAUUUUCUUGUUUAUUGGGCAGUGGAGGAUAAUAUCCCUGUAUACCUAUGGAAGUGUAGCUGUCUAGCAGAUCUGUGUGUGGACCCAAACGUUUGGUAUACAUAUUGGUUCAGAACCAAGAUAUGAACUUAAGCUAUCAUAGCCGGUUGUAUCAACUUCAAAACAGUAUGACUGUCAUCAAUGAAGCCUAUGGAUUGAGUAGAAUAUAAUAUAACUAAGUGCCAAGGAUGCACGUCGUAUAUACAUGUAGCAUGAGAUCCCCACAUUGUAGCCUGUACAUUUAAUAUAUUCACUGAUCAUGUACUAAACAUUGGCAAAUAAAGGUGCAGUUCAGGUCUGAAUGUC